AGCAGCCGCGGUAAUUCCAGCUCCAAUAGCGUAUAUUAAAGUUGUUGCAGUUAAAAAGCUCGUAGUUGAAUUUCGGGGUCAGUAGGCUGGUCGUGCCACUGGUAUGUACUGGACUCACUGAUUCCUCCUUCCUGAUGAACCGUAAUGCCAUUAAUUUGGUGUUGCGGGGAAACUGGACUGUUACUUUGAAAAAUUAGAGUGUUUAAAGCAGGCUAACGCUUGAAUACAUUAGCAUGGAAUAAUGGAAUAGGACGUUCGAUCCUAUUUUGUUGGUUUCUAGGAUUGACGUAAUGAUUAAUAGGGAUAGUUGGGGGCAUUAGUAUUCAAUUGUCAGAGGUGAAAUUCUUGGAUUUAUUGAAGACUAACUACUGCGAAAGCAUUUGCCAAGGAUGUUUUCAUUAAUCAAGAACGAAAGUUAGGGGAUCGAAGACGAUCAGAUACCGUCGUAGU
rnacentral:rRNA from 1 species